GUUGCGGUGGCCGAGUGGUUAAGGCGUUGGACUCGAAAUCCAAUGGGAUCUUCCCGCGCAGGUUCGAAUCCUGCCCGCAAAG
rnacentral:tRNA from 2 species